rnacentral:piRNA from 1 species
UNUGAAGAUUAUACUGUGUCUAGUGAAGC